GCAUAUGGUACAGAAUAUGCGUUCCCUCAAUUGCGAAUUUAGCUCCUGGGUAGGUUAGUGACAGCUCAGGCUUUGUCGAUGUCGUCUCCACUACCGAUAACCGUUGACACCUAACAAAACUAGUUAAAUCACAAAAAACAUUAUUAGUUGCAUGAACACUAUGGUGUCGUUAGCUCCACCACUAUUUAUCCCCUUAUCUGUACGGUAGAGGAUAUGUGUCCCUUAUGACCUUAUCCGUAUGAUGCGGUUCUUGGUUGGGCAGGAAUACGGCCAUGGUUCUUGGUUCCAGGAGCUCCUCCAUGGAAUACGGCCAUGGUUCUUGGUUCCAGGAGCUCCUCCAUGGAAUACGGCCACCCAGCUUCCUCCUCCAUGACGCUGACGUGGCAUCCGAAGGACGGCUUCGGGCUUCGGCUGCCGGCGGCGGUUGAGGCAGAAGGUGUGGCCUGCACCACCACCGGCUCGGCGGUGGUGGCGGACUCGUCGCCGUCGUCGAGCGAGAGGUGGAAGGAGAUGAAGUCGGUGUUGCUGGGAGACCGGGCCUCUCGGCGCGUAGCAGAUGCGCCAGGCGCGGCAGGCCGCCGACGCGGAACGGGCGGGAGGAGAUGGGCUGGCAGCUCCCAUUAAAUGGGCGUGGGCCGGUGGGACGGAGGCCGGUCGCCGGCGGCCUCGCCCUCCCCUCCCCCAGAUCCGGCCGGAGGGGAAGCGGCGGGAUGGGUGGCCGGCCGGCGGCGGGAUGGGAGGCCGCUUGGUGAGUCGAUUUUUUUUGUUUUUUUGAUUUUUUUUUAUUUGUGGUUUAGAUGUUUUGCUCUGUGAAUGAAUCUAUGGAUCGAUGUUAAUGAAUCUGUGAUGUUAUAAAUGAGUAUGUGACUCGAUGUUGUCAAUGAACCCGCGAAUCAAUAUUGUGAACAUAUUUGUGAUGUUGUGAAUGAAUAUGUGAAUGGAUAUUGUGAAUGAA